rnacentral:lncRNA from 1 species
AGUAGGCACCCCUCGAUCCCGUGGUUUGACCACGGUCACUUGGUGGAGCAUAUCGGCUAAUCUGACAUUACGAAUGUAUAAACCAUACAAGACACACAACAAUUUAAAAAAAAACAAACGAGAAUCCAAAAGUUAAUGUCCAGUCCAAUUAUUAUAAACCCAAAAUAAAAAGGUACAUAAAUGUAAACCUACACUAAUCCUAAACUAAGCUCCAUCCGGUGCCUCAGAUCUUGACCACGAAUAUCUUCUGUCAACAUAAUACGUCUGGGCAUUCUUCGGUGAAUAAAUACAAAUGACCACGGGGCAUUCCCCGGCUAAAUAAACACAUUCAAUGAAAUACGAUAAAACUAGAAGAAACUUUCAACACAUUUAAACAUUCGACGCAUUCAAUAACACAUCACUCCUAAAUUUUGCCUACCCGAACCGAAACAUCAUUUGCCUAUCCAAUCGGUAGCCUAAUCAUGAUACUAUCACAUUUAACCUUCGUAUUUUGCUCCCAAACAACCAACGACAAUAAAUCAAGACUAAAAAAGAUUCAUUUUAUCAAUUCCUAAUCAAGACUAAACAAGAUUCAUUUUAUCAAUUCCUACCCUCCAAUCCCCACAUUUCUUUUUCAACACCAAAUUUCAACAAAAUUCAAGAUUACUAAU